GGCCAAGUGGCGGAACUGGCAGACGCGCACGACUCAAAAUCGUGUGAGGGUAACCUCAUGAGAGUUCGACUCUCUCCUUGGCCA
rnacentral:tRNA from 2 species